rnacentral:rRNA from 1 species
CCCUUUGGGGGUACUCGAGUGGCGAACGGGUGAGUAACACGUGAGUAACCUGCCCUUGACUUCGGGAUAACUUCAGGAAACUGGGGCUAAUACCGGAUAGGAAUCCUUGCUGCAUGGUGGGGGUUGGAAAGCUUCGGCGGUUUUGGAUGGACUCGCGGCUUAUCAGCUUGUUGGUGGGGUAGUGGCUUACCAAGGCUUUGACGGGUAGCCGGCCUGAGAGGGCGACCGGCCACAUUGGGACUGAGAUACGGCCCAG